UGGUUAGAACGGUCUUCUAUUCACUGAGAAUCUCAUGAUUUCUUCCAUUGGUUCUAGGAAGAAGCAACACAAAUGUAUAUUUUCUCUUGAGAUAUGUAAUAUACAGUUUUUUCCUUAUUUACGUUGAAGGGCUAACUCAAUGUAUUUGAAGACAACUUCCGUCUUUCCCUUUCAAAAGCUUUUUAGGGCCGGGUGCGGUGGCUCAUGCCUGUAAUCCCAGCACUUUGGGAGGCUGAGGUGGGCGGAUUGCUUGAGGUCAGGAGUUUGAGACCAGCCUGAGCAACAUGGCAAAACCCCGUCUCUACUAAAAAUACAAAAAUGAGCUGGGCACGGUGGUGGGCGCCUGUAAUCCCAGCUAUUCGGGAAGUUGAGGCAGAUGAAUUGCUUGAACCUGGGAGGUGGAGGAGGAGGUUGCAGUGAGCCGAGAUCGUGCCACUGCACUCCAGCCUGGGUGACAGAGUGAGACCCUCUCUCUCUCUCUCAAAACAAACAAACAAACAAAAAACACUUUUUCAAAAUGUUAUUGAAACACUUCCCCCGCUAUUGCCUUCUGAUCAAACCGAGGUCCCAGUUCUUCCCUUUUGAAAUUGUUGAGUACCUUCUCGUUCUUUGAACUCUACUCAUCUUUCCCAACUUGGUUUCCUCUUUCCUCCUAAUCCUCAAUCCCAAGAAACUCUCUAGGCAAAAUUCUUUCAUUUUCUGUGUUCCAGAGAUUCUUGUUCAUACUCGACCUUGUCUUCACCAGUCUACAAAACUCUAGAAAGGUCUACAUUCUAAUCAUUAAAAAAAAAAAUCUCGGCCAGGCGCGGUGGCUCAAGCCUGUAAUUCCAGCACUUUGGGAGGCCGAGAUGGGUGGAUCAUGAGGUCAGGAGAUCGAGACCAUCCUGGCUAACACGGUGAAACCCCAUCUCUACUAAAAAUACAAAAACUAGCCGGGCAGGGUGGCGGCCUGUAGUCCCAGCUACUCGGAGGCUGAGGCAGGAGAAUGGCGUGAACCCGGGAGGCGGAGCUUGCAGUGAGCUGAGAUCCAGCCACUGCACUCCAGCCUGGGUGACAGAGCGAGAUUCUGUCUCAAAAAAAAAAAAAAAAAAAAAAAA
rnacentral:lncRNA from 1 species